UAGAAUGUAUAUAUAUAGAAUUACGCAGCAUAUACUUCUUUGUAUCUGGCAACUUUUGACCAACGUAAUGUCUGACAUUUACUGAUGGUGAUGGUAAAGUUUCGUAGUCAACCUGGCUACGUUAAAUGUGAUACCCAGAUAGCUGGUAAAACAUUAUUGCUGGGUGUGUCUGUGAGGAUGUUUCUGGAAGAGACUAGCAUUUGAAUCAGUGUAAAAAGAUCCACCAUCAGGGAUAUGGGUGGCUAUUGCCCAAUCCAUUGAGGGCCUGCAGGAAUAGAACAAAAAGGUGGAGAAAGAGCUCAUCCUUUCUCUCUUUUUGAGCUUGGGCAUCUAUCUUCUCCUGCCCUUGGACAUUGGAGCUCCAGUUUCUCAGGCCUUGAGACUCCAGGAUUGAUACUAGCGCCUUUUCCUGGUUCUCAGACCUUUGGCCUUGGCUUGGGAGUUACACCAUUGGUUCUCCUGGUUGUCAGGUCUUUAAGCUUGUACUGAGUUACACCAUCUGUUUCUCCAGCUUGCAGACAGCAUAGCAUGGGACUUCUCGGCCUCCAUAAUCAUGUGAGCCAAUUCCUGUAAGUCUCCUCUUACUUGCUUAUAUGUUUCUCUGGAGAACCCUGACUAAUACAGGUACAAUGCUGGAUGUAUCAGUAGUUUGUUUUGUUUUAUUGCUGAAUAGUAUUCCACUGUGUGAAAAUAUCACAAUCUACUUAUCUUCCUGUUGAUAGUCUUUGAAUCAUUUCAGAUAAGUUAUGAAUAAAGCUGCCAUGAAGAUUCCCUAUACAAGUCUUUUUGGAGAUAUAAGUUUUCAUUGGAUAAGUAUCUAAUAGAGGAAUCACUGCAUUGUGUAAGUGUGGGUGUAACUUUAUAAAAACUUUCAAGCUAUUUUCCUAAGGGACUGUAUAUUCUUUACCAUGCUCCAAAUCUAUAUAAUGCAGCAUUCUCCAGUGAUAGAAAAGUAAUAGGAUAUGUGUAUAUAGACAGAAAGAGACUUAUUGUAAGGAACUGGCUUAUGUGAUUAUGGAGACGGGCAAGUCCAAAUCUGCAGUGUGAGCUGGCAGGCUCGAGAUCCAGGAUAGCUGAUGGUGCAGAUGAAGUCUGGAGGCAGUCUGCUGGGAAAUUCUCCCUUCCCUGGGGCAUCUGAUCUUUUUGUUCUGUUCAGGCUUUCAGCUGAUUGGAUGCAGCCCACCUACGUUAUGGGGAGCAAUCUGCUUACUCGCAGUUUACUGAUCUAAAUUUUAAUCUCAUUCCAGGACACUCUCCAAGAUGAAAUUAACCAUCACACAUCCACCCCUUGUCAUCCUGGUGCUCAUACACAUCUCCUUACACCACGAUUAAUCUCCACUAAAGGCGAUAACAAGUGUGGAUCCCCUUGGCAGUCAGGAUCAGUUACUCCAGUCAACACAAGAUCUCCCUUCUCUGCCUGCUGAUUCAGAGGCAUGGGGGACCCAAGUUUUGUCUUCCAGAAAUAGAAAAAGAAAUACAUGUGGCAAAAACUGACAACAUUGAAAAAAGAUGAACAAAUCUACAAUUACAAAUGGAGAGUUCAACACUUCACUGUUGAUGAUGGAUAGAAUAAAUAGACAGAUGGCCGCGCGGUGGCUCACGCCUGUAAUCCCAGCACUUUGGGAGGGCAAGGCGGGUGGAUCACCUGAGGUCAGGA
rnacentral:lncRNA from 1 species